GAUGAACGCUAGCUACAGGCUUAACACAUGCAAGUCGAGGGGAAACGAUGAGAGAGCUUGCUCUCUUAGGCGUCGACCGGCGCACGGGUGAGUAACGCGUAUCCAACCUACCCAUUACAGGGGGAUAACCUUGCGAAAGUAAGACUAAUACCCCAUGGCAUUUUAUGGUGGCAUCAUUAUAGGAUUAAAGAUUUAUUGGUAAUGGAUGGGGAUGCGUCUGAUUAGCUUGUUGGCGGGGUAACGGCCCACCAAGGCAACGAUCAGUAGGGGUUCUGAGAGGAAGGUCCCCCACAUUGGAACUGAGACACGGUCCAAACUCCUACGGGAGGCAGCAGUGAGGAAUAUUGGUCAAUGGGCGAGAGCUUGAACCAGCCAAGUAGCGUGCAGGAUGACGGCCCUAUGGGUUGUAAACUGCUUUUAUAGGGGAAUAAAGUGAGCUACGUGUAGUUUAUUGCAUGUACCCUAUGAAUAAGGGCCGGCUAAUUCCGUG
rnacentral:rRNA from 1 species